GGCAUAUACAGCCUGGACAUGCGGGACAAAGGGAUCAUUCAUGUCCAGGUAACAGUGGAGGAGUUCUCUGACUGAAGUUGGGAGUUUAGUAUCCCAGAGGUCAGCUGGAUUACAAGACUUGCCAUUUGAUCCUGGCCACUGAGUUACACUUGUGGCACCCACAAAGUAGUUUAUAAACAACUAUUUUGUAUUACUAAGAUGGCGGUGGCAAUUGGAAAUGAAGCCUGCACAUUCAAAAUUUUUUCUCUGGACUAUGUUUGUACUAUGUAAUCCAGAUCCACUUACUAAUGGCUGAAUGGAUUGUCAAUGGAUCACUAACUCAACUGGAAACAAUCAAGUUACUGAUGAGACUUUGGUCCUGCUGAUAUUGAACAUGCUAUUCAUAAACUAGGAGAUCCUGUUGUGUUUUGACGUUCUGCAACCCAUGACUAAAGAUCUUCUGGUUCCCUUCCUGGUAAUCUAUAUAUGUGCCUCAAGUAGUGGACUUCUUGAAAGCUCAGAGGAUAAUUUUAUGGGAAAAGAUAUUCACAGAAUAUCUACCCAAUCAAAGUUGUCACUGCCGUGGAAAGUGAGUGACCUCUUCAUAGACAGCCACCUUGGAUUCCCAGCACCGUCUGUAGCCAGUGGUGAAGGACAGGCUGCACUGAACAAAUCUGCUGGCAACCAUCACUGCGACUCCCUUCACCUUUUGAGCAUUUGAGAGAAAAACUGAUAAUGAGUAAGAAAGCAAAUCAAUCUUGCAGAAAAAUUGAGAACCAGUGGCUCCUCCAUCAUGGUGAAAAGCAGCAGCCUAGCAGCCCCUGCAGGUGGCAAAACA